rnacentral:lncRNA from 1 species
CAGCAUCUCAGAACAGAGAAAAACACGGCUUGCAGAAACUUGAUUUCUGUCUUAUCAAAACAGAUCUUCAGCUAGUCUCAGUUGUCUUAGAUCUGACUCCUUCAAAGAAGUGAUUAUAAUUGAUAACUCCAGUCUCACCACAUCAGAGUUUUCACCUAUCAGUUGUGUGCAAGGAGAGUGACAGUACUGGCACACACAUCUUGGCGCUGAUGGUUCGAGAUGGCCAUAGAAUCAUAGAAUGGCCCAGGUUGAAAACGACCGCAAUGACCAUCGAGUUUCAAUGCCCCUGCUAUGUGCAGGGUCGCCAACCACCAGAGCAGGCUGCCCAGAGCCACUUCCAGCCUGGCCUUGGAUGCCCCAUCCCUGGAUGCAUUCACAACCUACUUGGGCAACCUGUUCCAGUGCAUCACCACCCUCUGGGUGAAAAACUUCCUCCUAAUAUCUAACCUAAGCCAGCCCUGUCUCAGUUUAAGACUAUUCCUCCUUAUCCUACCACUUUCCACCCUCACAAACAGCCGUUCCCCUUCCUGUUUAUACGCUUCCUUCAAGUACUGGAAGGCCACAAUGAGCUCCCCCUGGAGCCUUCUCUUCUCCAAGCUAUACAAGCCCAGUUCCCUCAACCUUUCCUCAUAGGAGAGGUGCUCCUGCCCUCUGAUCAUCUUAGUGGCCCUCCUCUGGACACGCUCCAACAGCUCCACCCUUCCUCUACUGGGGGCCUGUAGAGCAAAUAAGGAUACGGAUAUAAGAAACUAUCGCCUUUGAAAAGGAAUAAUCAGAGAUGAACAGGAAGCUUACCCGUGUCCUAGGCUCGCCAAAAGGGCUCCAAGAGGAGUGAUCUUCAGAGAGCGAUCCUUCCUCCGUGGCAGUCAGCCCUUAAAUGGGGUUUAGAAGAG